GUCUACAGCCAUACCAUCCUGAGCGUGCCCGAUCUCAUCUGAUCUCGGAGGCUAAGCAGGGUCAGGCCAGGUUAGUACUUGGAUGGGAGAAAUGUCUGAUACUACAUGUU
ensembl:rRNA 5S_rRNA 5S ribosomal RNA